GAUUUCAAUCCAAUUUCUUGAUUCCAUUAGCCUCUUUGGCAUCCUCUGAAACUUUUGCAACAAUUCCCAAGCUCCGAGACCUUCUGAAGUGAUCUAACUAGAUCGAGCUUCAUCAACUUCUGAUCACCAUUUGGAAAAGGUGGUUAUGAGCACCAUUUGAACUCAAACAAGUUACCAUAAUGUAGCCCUUCACUCUCUGAUGCUUUCCCCUAACUUAUUUGGUGUUGAUUGAUCGUGCUCAUCAUUUAAUU
rnacentral:lncRNA from 1 species